UAUUCUGUAAAACCUAUAUGUAUGAAGAGAUCUUACCUUAUCCUGGAUGGAUCUCGGCCAUCCUCACUUGGCUAUUUUUCUCCAACCUGAAAGACCUUCAGAAAACUAAGUUCUGUAUCCAGAGGUUUAUCAACUCUAUGAUCAAACUAGGUUUUGGAGUGUCACAGAUCAAAGCUGUGAUGACUUUGGUCUCUGGGAUUCAAAUGGGCCCACCGCGGCUUCCACUGCAGAAAGCCUCCAAAGAGUUUACUGCUAAGGCUGAAAGUAAACUGAAGAGCCUGCAUAUCCUUUCUUCCACUGGUUAAAGGAUGGAAACUUGGAAGUCUGUAGCUAGUGCCUCUCUGUCAAAUCAGGGCCCAAUGCAGCUUUUAUUAAAAGGAAGCUUAAGUUCAUCAGAUCCUUUCAGGGUAAGUGCUCACAUCAGGAUUCUCCUGCUUCUCUGGAUUUUCUCCUUCAUUUUUGUUGACCUGUAAGGCAUUUUCUUACUUUCUUGGCAGCACAGCAAUGCAUUUUUAUUGUAGUCAACAUUUUUUAUUUUUCAGUGGUGCAUUUAUUUAGGGCAUCUCCAUUUUUUCCAAGCUUUUGAAAUCUUCUGUUUUAGAUUUCCCUUGUAAAUACUGCAAAUUUAUACUUUGCUAUGUGUUCCAUUCUGAGAGUCAUUUUCUCUUAACAGGUGAUUAUAUCCAUUUACCUUUAUUGAAAGUCUUCCUAAAUAGUUUGUAGAAAGAAACAUUAUUUUUGUUUAUAAAAUACAGUACAUUCUAUGCUAGUAUCCAAUAGGAAAUUACAAAUUCUGGAUAUGAGAAACUACUUAAUUAACACUGAUAAAAAAGUAAAAUCCCAUAACUUUAUAGAAAUGUAUUAGUCUUAGUGAAAGCUGAUAUGGAGCAAGCCAUGAAAUGCUGAAAUAUAUAAAUGCACAAGUAAAUAAAAUCCUACCCUAAUACGGGAACCAUAAAAGCGAAUAUGAACAUGGUAUUUCAAUGACUACAUAACUAAGAAGCAAGCCAAACUGUAAAAUAAAGUUAAACUAAUUCCUAUAGAAUAAAGGCAGAGACAGCAAAUAUUAGUGUGAAAGUGAGACAAAGCAAGUUGCCAAACCCUAUUGUAAGGAAAGUAAUACCAGUAAAAAAUAAAGAACAGCUUAGUCAGGCUCUCUCACCUUACGUCUGUUACAAAUAGGCAAGGUUCGGCACAUUCACUAGAAACAAGUUAUAAAAGUAGUGUAACUGCACGUGUGCCCAUUUACUGAUUCAGCAUGAUUGUUGUAAUUAUGUAAUGCUUGGUUUGUGGCUGCUAUUGUGUACUAAGAGUAUAAAGGUACUACUCUGAACCACUGGUCGGCAGAGCACGGAGGGUCGGCAGAGCACGGAGGGGUUGGCAGAGCACGGAGGGGUCAGCAGAGCAUGGAGGGUCAACAGAGUCAGGGCAGAGCCUGAGCUUGUCUUGGAGGAAUAAAGCAUGUCUGUGAAGCUCACAUUUGAAGAAUAAAGUAUGUCUACCUUGCAUAAAGCUUCCAGAAUCUUCAUUCAAUUACUUGACACACAACCUUCACAGGAAGGGACAGAAGGAUCUGAGAUUCUUGCCUGACAUCUGUGAAUGUGAAUAAAUUUCUAUACAGGUAGCCAAAAGAACUUGUAAAUAAACAAAUGGUUCAAUAGAAACUGGUACAGUGGAUAUGGAAAAGUGAUUUCCAAUGUCAUGCUUGCUUGUAAAAAAGGCAAAUAUUCACUGACACAUAUGCACAGCAAGCAAUAAAAAAAGUAAGAAUUCUAAUAGCAAUUGGCAUUUCGAUGAAUACUAUAACUAUAUAGCAAGGAAGGAAAUCAAUUAAAAGUUUUCAUAGAUUUUGUUUUUCAUCCUCAGAAUCUAGACCAUCAUUUCUGCUGGAAUCCAGAUUCACUGCAUUAAACGUCAUCAGUUCUUUAAACCGUAACCCAUUGUCAGUACCAUUAUUAAUUCACCUUUUGAAAAAUGACUUAACUUUUGUUUUAAAGUAUGUAUGUGCUGUGUUUAGCACCUUUUAUGCCCUAUCUUUAUUUUCUACAACGUUGUAUUGUUUGCUCGGUUAGUGGGCAUCCACAAUUCCACUCAACAGCAUCAUCCUGUGUCUAUGGCAUUAAGCCUAAACCUAAUUUUGUAUCAAAGCCAUGAGUUUUGAUCCAUGGGUACUGUACUAACAUAUUUAAAACUAAAUAUUAGAAGAUAAUCCAAACUCUUCCUCUGAUCAGCUUUGUGUUCUUUCAUUUGUAAUAGGAAACUCAUAAUAUCUACCUCCUGGGAUUAUGAGGAUUACAUAAAGUAAUACAUAAAGGUUCUUAGAAUAGUGACUAGUACAUCAUAAGCACAGUGAAGUGUUAGUUAUUAUUAGUUUUUGUAGCUAUUCAAGGCACUCAGUAUAUGUUCUUUACAUAGAGAGAAACAUUAUAUUACUGCUAAACCUUUUAAUAGUUAGCAAAAUAAAGUUGAAAAUGGUACCAAA